UACGUAGGCAGCGAGCGUUGUUCGGAGUUACUGGGCGUAAAGCGUGCGUAGGCGGUGGUCCAAGUCUGGUGUGAAAUCUCCCGGCUCAACUGGGAGGGUGCGCCGGAAACUGGGCCGCUGGAGUACGGGAGAGGCAAGCGGAAUUCCAGGUGUAGCGGUGAAAUGCGUAGAUAUCUGGAGGAACACCCGUGGUGCAGACGGCUUGCUGGACCGUGACUGACGCUGAGGCACGAAAGCGUGGGUAGCAAACAGGA
rnacentral:rRNA from 1 species